rnacentral:rRNA from 1 species
UACGUAGGGUGCAAGCGUUGUCCGGAAUUAUUGGGCGUAAAGAGCUCGUAGGCGGUUUGUCGCGUCUGCUGUGAAAACUCGGGGCUUAACCCCGGGCCUGCAGUGGGUACGGGCAGACUAGAGUGCGGUAGGGGAGACUGGAAUUCCUGGUGUAGCGGUGAAAUGCGCAGAUAUCAGGAGGAACACCGGCGGCGAAGGCGGGUCUCUGGGCCGAAACUGACGCUGAGGAGCGAAAGCGUGGGGAGCAAACAGG